rnacentral:rRNA from 1 species
CUACCGGGGUAUCUAAUCCUGUUUGCUCCCCACGCUUUCGAGUCUCAGCGUCAGUAUUCGUCCAGUUGGCCGCCUUCGCCGCCGGUGUUCCUCUCGAUAUCUACGAAUUUCACCUCUACACCGAGAAUUCCACCAACCUCUCCGAUACUCUAGCCUCGCAGUUUCGAGUGCACUUCCCGGGUUGAGCCCGGGGCUUUCACACCCGACUUAUGAGACCGCCUACACUCGCUUUACGCCCAGUAAUUCCGAACAACGUUUGCACCCUCUGUCUUACCGCGGCUGCUGGCAC